UACAGAGGGGGCAAGCGUUAUUCGGAAUUAUUGGGCGUAAAGGGCGCGUAGGCGGCCAUUCAAGUGACGGGUGAAAGCCCUCGGCUUAACCGAGGAACUGCCUGUCAGACUGGAUGGCUUGAGACCGGGAGAGGUGAGUGGAAUUCCCAGUGUAGCGGUGAAAUGCGUAGAUAUUGGGAGGAACACCAGUGGCGAAGGCGGCUCACUGGCCCGGUACUGACGCUGAGGCGCGAAAGCGUGGGGAGCAAACAGG
rnacentral:rRNA from 1 species